rnacentral:rRNA from 1 species
AUGAACGCUGGCGGCGUGCCUAAUACAUGCAAGUCGAGCGAACAGACGAGGAGCUUACUCCUCUGACGUUAGCGGCGGACGGGUGAGUAACACGUGGAUAACCUACCUAUAAGACUGGGAUAACUUCGGGAAACCGGAGCUAAUACCGGAUAAUAUAUUGAACCGCAUGGUUCAAUAGUGAAAGACGGUUUUGCUGUCACUUAUAGAUGGAUCCGCGCCGCAUUAGCUAGUUGGUAAGGUAACGGCUUACCAAGGCAACGAUGCGUAGCCGACCUGAGAGGGUGAUCGGCCACACUGGAACUGAGACACGGUCCAGACUCCUACGGGAGGCAGCAGUAGGGAAUCUUCCGCAAUGGGCGAAAGCUUGACGGAGCAACGCCGCGUGAGUGAUGAAGGUCUUCGGAUCGUAAAACUCUGUUAUUAGGGAAGAACAAAUGUGUAAGUAACUAUGCACGUCUUGACGGUACCUAAUCAGAAAGCCACGGCUAACUACGUG